UAGGGAAUCUUCGGCAAUGGACGAAAGUCUGACCGAGCAACGCCGCGUGAGUGAAGAAGGUUUUCGGAUCGUAAAACUCUGUUGUUAGAGAAGAACAAGGACGUUAGUAACUGAACGUCCCCUGACGGUAUCUAACCAGAAAGCCACGGCUAACUACGUGCCAGCAGCCGCGGUAAUACGUAGGUGGCAAGCGUUGUCCGGAUUUAUUGGGCGUAAAGCGAGCGCAGGCGGUUUCUUAAGUCUGAUGUGAAAGCCCCCGGCUCAACCGGGGAGGGUCAUUGGAAACUGGGAGACUUGAGUGCAGAAGAGGAGAGUGGAAUUCCAGGUGUAGCGGUGAAAUGCGUAGAUAUAUGGAGGAACACCAGUGGCGAAGGCGGCUCUCUGGUCUGUAACUGACGCUGAGGAUCGAAAGCGUGGGGAGCAAACAGG
rnacentral:rRNA from 1 species